UUAGUUAACUAAAUUUCAACAUUGUAAUAUAAGGUUUUAGAAAAAAAAAAGUACUAUGACACUGAAAACUGGCGUAAGUACUCAAAAGUCUUUGUGGGAAAUUGCGUUAGAAGAAAAGCAAAAUAACACAAAGAACAUCACAAAAGUUCAAAGAUAGAUAUAUCACAAGGAUGGCUGAACGAUAAAAAAAAAUGCUUGAAGAAGAAGUCAAAGUGGAAUGGGAUGUAAAAUUGUUUGAAGAGCAAGUAGAAGAACCAGUCAUUGAAGAAACUAUAGUUGAAAUAAAAAAAGAAGACGAAAUAAAAGAUUCGAUUAUAGAAGAUAUAUUUACAGAAAAAAUGGAAAAAAAUAAACCAUUGCAACAAUUUGAAUCAAAUUCGCCUGUUGCUGUCGUUAAACCUCAAGAAAAACCGCAAGAAAAACCUCAAGGAUUAGGAUAUAAUCCUGCUACACAUUCGUUUCUUGUAUAUUAAAAUGAGAAAAAAAAACAA